rnacentral:rRNA from 1 species
ACGGGGUGCAGCAGGCGCGAACACUUUACAAUGCGGGAAACCGCGAUAAGGGAACCCCGAGUGCCAGCAUCAAAUGUUGGCUGUCCAGAUGAUUAAAAAUCAUUUGUUAGCAAGGGCCGGGCAAGACCGGUGCCAGCCGCCGCGGUAACACCGGCGGCCCGAGUGGUAGCCGUUUUUAUUGGGUCUAAAGGGUCCGUAGCCGGCCUGAUAAGUCCUUUGGGAAAUCUGGCAGCUUAACUGUCAGGCUUCUAAGGGAUACUGUCAGGCUUGGGACCGGAAGAGGUAAGGGGUACUCCAGGGGUAGGAGUGAAAUCUUGUAAUCCCUGGGGGACCAUCUGUGGCGAAGGCGCCUUACCAGAACGGGUCCGACGGUGAGGGACGAAAGCUAGGGGAGCAAACCGGAUUAGAUACCCGGGUAGUCCUAGCUGUAAACGAUGCUCGCUAGGUGUCAGACACGGUGCGACCGUGUUUGGUGCCGCAGGGAAGCCGUUAAGCGAGCCACCUGGAGUACGUCGCAAGGC